rnacentral:rRNA from 1 species
UGGGGAAUCUUGCACAAUGGGGGAAACCCUGAUGCAGCGUCGCCGCGUGAGCGAUGAAGGUUUUCGAAUCGUAAAGCUCUGUCCUAUGGGAAGAUAAUGACGGUACCAUAGGAGGAAGCCCCGGCUAACUACGUGCCAGCAGCCGCGGCAAUACGUAGGGGGCGAGCGUUGUCCGGAAUUACUGGGCGUAAAGGGUUCGCAGGCGGCAUGACAAGUCCGAUGUAAAAGGCGAAAGCUCAACUUUCGUAAGCAUCGGAAACUGUCAAGCUUGAGUGAAGGAGAGGCAAGUGGAAUUCCUAGUGUAGCGGUGGAAUGCGUAAAUAUUAGGAGGAAUACCGGUGGCGAAGGCGACUUGCUGGAAAUAAACUGACACUGAGGAACGAAAGCGUGGGUAGCAAACAGG